rnacentral:rRNA from 1 species
AUUGAACGCUGGCGGCAGGCCUAACACAUGCAAGUCGAACGGUAGCACAGAGAGCUUGCUCUCGGGUGACGAGUGGCGGACGGGUGAGUAAUGUCUGGGAAACUGCCUGAUGGAGGGGGAUAACUACUGGAAACGGUAGCUAAUACCGCAUAACGUCGCAAGACCAAAGAGGGGACCUUCGGCCUCUUUGCCAUCAGAUGUGCCCAGAUGGGAGUUAG